rnacentral:tRNA from 1 species
GCGGGGUUGCCCUAGCCUGGUAGGGGGCAGGCCUGCUAAGCCUGUGGUCCAUCGGGCCGCGCNNGUGGUCCUUCGGGCCGCGCGGGUUCAAAUCCCGCACCCCGCGCCA